rnacentral:tRNA from 1 species
GGAGAGGUGACCGAGCGGUUGAAGGUGCACGACUGGAAAUCGUGUAGGCGGGUAAAACUGCCUCGAGGGUUCGAAUCCCUCCCUCUCCGCCA